rnacentral:rRNA from 1 species
UACGUAGGGGGCAAGCGUUGUCCGGAUUUAUUGGGCGUAAAGAGCGUGUAGGCGGCCAGGUAGGUCCGUUGUGAAAACUCGAGGCUCAACCUCGAGACGCCGAUGGAAACCAUCUGGCUAGAGUCCGGAAGAGGAGAGUGGAAUUCCCGGUGUAGCGGUGAAAUGCGCAGAUAUCGGGAAGAACACCCGUGGCUAAGGCGGCUGACACUCGGCCCGAGUACGUGACGCUGACGGCACGAAAGCCAGGGGAGCAAACGGGAG